rnacentral:rRNA from 1 species
GACGAACGCUGGCGGCGUGCCUAAUACAUGCAAGUAGAACGCAGUUGCGAACGGGUGAGUAACGCGUAGGUAACUGCCUCAUAGCGGGGGAUAACUAUUGGAAACGAUAGCUAAUACCGCAUACUGUGAGAUGGACCUGCGUUGUCUUAGCUAGUUGGUGAGGUAAAGGCUCACCUAGGCGACGAUCCCUAGCUGGUCUGAGAGGAGGACCAGCCACACUGUAACUGAGACACGGUCCAGACUCCUACGGGAGGCAGCAGUGGGGAAUAUUGGGCAAUGGGCGCAAGUCUGAUCGAGCCAUGCCGCGUGUGUGAAGAAGGCCUUCGGGUUGUAAAGUACUUUCGUCGGGGAGGCGUUACUCGCAGAAGAAGCACCGGCUAACUCCGUGCCAGCAGCCGCGGUAAUUC